ACGUGCCAGCANCCGCGNUAAUACGUAGGGUGCGAGCGUUANUCGGAAUUACUGGGCGUAAAGCGUGCGCAGGCGGUGAUGUAAGACAGGUGUGAAAUCCCCGGGCUUAACCUGGGAACUGCAUUUGUGACUGCAUUGCUGGAGUGCGGCAGAGGGGGAUGGAAUUCCGCGUGUAGCAGUGAAAUGCGUAGAUAUGCGGAGGAACACCGAUGGCGAAGGCAAUCCCCUGGGCCUGCACUGACGUUCAUGCACGAAAGCGUGGGGAGCAAACAGGAUUAGAUACCCUGGUAGUCCACGCCCUAAACGAUGUCAACUGGUUGUUGGUCCUUCACUGGAUCAGUAACGAAGCUAACGCGUGAAGUUGACCGCCUGG
rnacentral:rRNA from 1 species